UUCCUACUCCCUCCGUCUUCGUCUCAAAAUACUUGUCAUCAAAAUGGAUAAAUAUGAUGUAUCUAGAACUAACAGAUACAUCAUAUUUAUCCAUUUUGAUGACAAGUAUUUCCGGACGGAGGGAGUACUAC
rfam:Triticum aestivum genome assembly, contig: Triticum_aestivum_CS42_TGACv1_scaffold_032340_1BL